GAUGAACGCUGGCGGCGUGCUUAACACAUGCAAGUCGAACGGACCAUAUUCGUAUGGUUAGUGGCAGACGGGUGCGUAACACGUGGGUGACCUGCCCUUAAGUGGGGAAUAACUCCGCUAACGCGGAGCUAAUACCGCAUAUGUUCGCUCAUUCGGUUGGGCGAGUAAAGCAGCAAUGCGCUUAGGGAUGGGCCUGCGGCGGAUUAGGUAGUUGGUGGGGUAACGGCCUACCAAGCCGAUGAUCCGUAGGGGGCGUGAGAGCGUGGCCCCCCACACUGGCACUGAGACACGGGCCAGACUCCUACGGGAGGCAGCAGUGAGGAAUAUUGCACAAUGGGCGCAAGCCUGAUGCAGCAACGCCGCGUGAGGGACGAAGGCCUUCGGUUGUAACCUCUUUUCUUGAGGGACGAGGAAGGACGGUACCUCAGGAAUAAGUCUCGGCUAACUACGUGCCAGCAGCCGCGGUAAACGUAAGCGUG
rnacentral:rRNA from 1 species